UACGUAGGUGGCAAGCGUUGUCCGGAUUUACUGGGCGUAAAGAGCGCGCAGGCGGUUCGUUGUGUCGGCGGUGAAAGCCCCGGGCUCAACCCGGGAACUGCGUUUGAAACUGGCAGGCUAGAGUUUGGCAGAGGGGGGUGGAAUUCCACGUGUAGCAGUGAAAUGCGUAGAGAUGUGGAGGAACACCGAUGGCGAAGGCAGCCCCCUGGGCCAAAACUGACGCUCAGGCACGAAAGCGUGGGGAGCAAACAGG
rnacentral:rRNA from 1 species